rnacentral:misc_RNA from 1 species
AAAACAAAAGCCAACCCCCUCCCCUGCCACACACACCACAUCACAAAAAAAGGGAAAAUUAACGCGAACGAAGACAUUACCGUGCUCCCGCGCGUGUCGACUGUCGCGGUCUUUGUAGUUGCCGACGUUCGUUGCGUGCGUGCGCACAGUUUCCUUUUCUUAGACGGUAUCCCCCUCCCUCCCCGCACCCCUCUCCCCCUUCCUUUGCAGCUGUCCUUCCGCUCAGGUCUCCGCUGUCCCUGCGCACACAAAGAGCGAGCGGAACCUCAGUCGACCACACGCGCAGUCGUAGCGCGGGUGAUUUCUUGCUGCCAACGAGGCAGCACGCCCUCCUAGAAGUCCAUCGGUGUGUCUGUUCGUUGCUUUUCAACUCACGGCCAUGUCGCGUCCGUACGGAAAGAAAGGGUACGCCUUUCACAGCCGCAGCGGCCCCGGCGGUGGCGGCGUCGGCAUUCUUGGGAAUGGCAACAACAAUGGCGGUCGCAGCGGCGGCGACUUUGGUCGUGGUGGCGGUGGUGGUCGUUUCAACAAUCACCACCACGGCGGCGGCAAUCGUAACAACAGCCAUAGCGCCACUAACAACAGCGGCAGCAGCGGCGGCGCGGACGUGAUGAAGGUGCUCCUCUCUCUUCUCUUCGAGAAGUCGUACAGCCAGAUAUUCAACGAGGCAAACGGCCUGCUGAACUUGUCCAAUACCCGCGCCAGCCCCGACCUCGAGCCAGUGCAGAAGCGUGUGGACUACAACAGCGUCGCGUUCUGCAAGGUGCUGGCGGAGGUGCUUCGAGAGAAGUUCGCCGACCGCAUCCGUGUGCUGCAGCUGGACGACAACAGCAUCCGUCAGUUGAAGGUGCUGCUCACCGCGCUGGCAGACGCUGACAUUCACCGCGGCAUCACGGCCAUCUCUGCCCGCAACAACAGCAUCAACGACCUCUCCUUCGUCAGCGGGCUGAAGCGCUAUGACGGCCUCAACGAGCUUCUCCUCAUCGGCAACCCCGUCACGAACCAGAAGGACUACUCCACCCGCCUCAGUCGCGACCUGCCACGACUGAAUAUGAUCGACGGCGUCGCCGUGGACCGGGCUCUGCUGCGCCUGCCCAACCCGGUCAACUCAGCCCCGCCGUCGCAGCAGCAGCUCAGCGUCCUGCACUACCUUGAGCAGACCAUGUUUCAGUCCAUGGCCUCACGCAACUACGACGCCAUCACCUACCUGUACGGCUCUCAGUUCUCCGCACUGUCCAUCAGCCGUGGCCCAGAGCCGCUGCCCCAGCGUGUGCCCGUGAGCGCGGUGCUCAACACCGGCGACCUGGAGAAGCAGCUGCGCAACCAGAUGCAGGCCGACGUCUCCAAGCUGCGCUCGAGCCAAGACUUUCGCAACCUUGCCACGGACAGUGCGGGGUCGAUGCGUAACAUCGCUAAGGGUCCGCAGGAGAUCGUCUCGAAGCUGCGGAACAUGUGCGGCGGGGACAAAUCCAUUGCAGUGGAGAUCGAGUUCAACCCGAACUUUAGCGUGGUGAUGAUGGACCAGAGCUACCACAUGCGCGUACCCGUGUGCGUAGUAACGGUGCACGGCAAGAUGCGCUAUCUCUGGAACCCGAUCCGGCCGGAGACGCAGCAGUCCACCUUCCCUGCCGGCAAGGCCCCCAUGAUCUCCACGUUCUUCGACCGCACCCUGACCUUGACCUGGGACGGCAACACGAACGCAUGGUCGAUCGCGAACGACAUGGUGCUGAUGCGCCCAGACCGCGCUGUCGUGCAUGACGACGGCACCCCGAGCAGCCCGCUCUUCUUUGCUAAUACCCCGUCGCGCAUUGAGCAGAUGCGCCGGCGCCUGAUGCCCGGCAUUACUGCCGAUGUCAUGGCUGUCAUUGUCAACGCGACCAGCUCGGACGAAGAGGUGAAGCAGUCCAUCAUGCAGCUGCUCAUGCUGCCUCAAGAUCAGCUGCACGCCGUGGCGAGCGAUCCAGAGGCCGCGAAGCGUGCACUGGGGAUGUAGGACUAUGACAUCGAGUCGCAUGUGUGUGAUGGCCCCACAUCUCUCGAAGGAGCGAAAGGGGAGAGAUAGCAAAGAAGGGCGGAGGAAGGAGAUGAUCAAUGAAGCGCAAGAAACGGCAGUGCUGUACGCGUGCAUGCAUGUGUGUGUGUGUGUGUGUGUGUGUGUGUGUGUGUGCUUGUUUGUUUUUUUUACGCAAUGCGAUCAUCGUUCCUCGUCGUCUUUUGCGCCUGUGGGUCGCUGACAUGUGUGUUUUUUUCUGCCUUGGCGUCAUUUUCAUGGCUGUUGUGUGUCUUCUUCCUGUCGCCAGCGACAAGUUAGAUGCUUCGCCCUCCACCCCCCCCCCUCUCUCCUUUCGUUUUUUUUUGUGUUUUUUUUGGGGGGCUCUGGUUGUUUGCACAUGCUCCGUUGCAUGUACGCGUUUUGUGUGUGAGCGUCUGUGUGUUGACGUCGCUGUGUCCUCAUGUGUAAGUUGAGCAUGGGUCAGCCGUUUGGUUGGCAAGCUCUCUCUCGGUCUCUCCCUCUUUUCCUCCGUUCAUCUCGCUGCUCAAUGCUCGCCUGUGUGUGCGUGUGCGUACGUGUGCGGGUGUUUAAGCACACAGAAACAGUGCAGCGACAACAUAAGCUAUAAAGGAAACAAAAAAGAAGGAGGCCACCCCGAUUCUCCGGAGAGACUACCGUUAUUAUGAUCCCCGCCGACCACGCUUCCCUGCACGCUGCUGUGUGUGUUUGUGGGCAUGUGUAUUUGUUGUGCUUGUGAUGCAUUGCUUGCUUUGUUCUUCUUCCCCUCCCUUCUGCGUGUGUGUGUGUGUGUGUGUGUGUGUGUGUGUGUGUUUGUGUUUGUGUGCUUGUACCCCACUGUGCCUGUCCGCCAUCUUCUAAAAGCGAACAAGACAGCUAAAAACAG